CAGUAGCCGCGGGAAUACGAAGGGUGCAAGCGUUACUCGGAAUUACUGGGCGUAAAGGGUGCGUAGGUGGUUUUUUAAGUCCGUUGUGAAAUCCCUGGGCUCAACCUGGGAAUGGCAGUGGAUACUGGAAAGCUAGAGUGCGGUAGAGGGUAGUGGAAUUCCCGGUGUAGCAGUGAAAUGCGUAGAGAUCGGAAGGAACGCCCGUGGCGAAAGCGGGCUCCUGGACACCACCUGACGCUGAGACGCGAAAGCCAGGGGAGCGAACGGGAUUAGAGACCCACGUAGUCCCUGUCUCUUAUAC
rnacentral:rRNA from 1 species